UACGGAGGGUGCGAGCGUUGUCCGGAAUCACUGGGCGUAAAGGGCGCGUAGGCGGCUCAUGAAGGCUGUGGUGAAAGUCCGGGGCUCAACUCCGGAUCUGCGGUGGGUACGGGCAGACUAGAGUGAUGUAGGGGAGACUGGAAUUCCUGGUGUAGCGGUGAAAUGCGCAGAUAUCAGGAGGAACACCGAUGGCGAAGGCAGGUCUCUGGGCAUUAACUGACGCUGAGGAGCGAAAGCAUGGGGAGCGAACAGG
rnacentral:rRNA from 1 species